CCUACGGGAGGCUGCAGUCGAGAAUCAUUCACAAUGGGGGAAACCCUGAUGGUGCGACGCCGCGUGGGGGAAUGAAGGUCUUCGGAUUGUAAACCCCUGUCAUGUGGGAGCAAAUUAAAAAGAUAGUACCACAAGAGGAAGAGACGGCUAACUCUGUGCCAGCAGCAGCGGUAAUACAGAGGUCUCAAGCGUUGUUCGGAAUCCCUGGGCGUAAAGCGUGCGUAGGCUGUUGCGUAAGUCGUGUGUGAAAGGCGCGGGCCCAACCCGCGGACGGCACAUGAUACUGCGAGACUAGAGUAAUGGAGGGGGAACCGGAAUUCUCGGUGUAGCAGUGAAAUGCGUAGAUAUCGAGAGGAACACUCGUGGCGAAGGCGGGUUCCUGGACAUUAACUGACGCUGAGGCACGAAGGCCAGGGGAGCGAAAGGGAUUAGAUACCCCGGUAGUC
rnacentral:rRNA from 1 species